AAAUUUUGGUGGUAAGUGGUGUGAAAAUGCGAAACCCAUGUUCUGGGUGUGGUCAUUAUUUCUCCCUAAUCGAGGCUCAGAUGAAGGCCUAAAGCCACUGGGUGAGACUGGGUUUCUCUGACUCUCUUAUAUCUGUCCCUAUUUUGACUACCUUGUGUAUUGUUCAAUGCUGAUUCAUUACUUUCUUUCUAAUGUUGUAUGUUUAUUGCUGGAAUUUCCGGCCUCGAUUACUCGAUGCAGGCAGCGAGUGAAAAUAACAAGUUUGUGUGGAUGUGAUUAUGUGAAUGGAGCCUCUUGCUGUUCUUGAUGAACUUGUCCCAGUUAAGAAGAAACAUGUUAUUGUCAAGCCAAAGCCCACGGAAGUAAUCGAAAUCAGCACCAACUCUCUCUUUCAGUGCUUACUGCUAGAAACAAGUUUGUGUAGGCUGCUUGUGGUUUGACUAAUAAACCAAAGGAAGUGAUUGUCGAUGUUGAUGCCUAAGAUGUUGGUAAUGACUUGGCUGCUGUUGAUUAUGUUGAGGACAUGUACAAGUUCUAUAAGCUUGUUGAGCGUGUGGGCCGCCCUUAUGACUAUGGACUAGCAGCCUGAGAUCACCGAAAACAUGAGAGCAAUUCUGAUGGACUGGCUGGUUGUUGUUCACAGCAAAUUCGAACUUUCUCCAAAGACUUUCUACUUACCCACCAACGUAAUUUGCUUAAGAUUGCCAAGGAGGGAGUUGCAUACAUAGAACACUAAAUCAAUGCCAUGCUUUUUGCCUCAAAGCAUGAAGAGAUCUGGCCUCCACAGGUGGAUGACUUUGUUAGCCUUUCGGACAAAGCUUACAGUAAUGUACAGAUCUUGGUGAUGGAUACUGCGCAAGUUGGAGCGGACCUUGACUGUGCUUUCACUCUCUAUGUGUUCCUGGUCCGGUUCAUUGAAGCUGCAAUUCCCGAUGGACA